rnacentral:rRNA from 1 species
CCCCCCAAAACCCCAAAGCGGGGAAGGGGUCCCCCAAGCGUCCAAUUUGAACUGGGGUUUGUGAGUAAUGUCCCCUACUAAAAAGGAGAGGGGAAGGCUGGUGCCAGCCGCCCCGGUAAAACCAGCUCUUCAAGUGGUCGGGAUAAUUAUUGGGCUUAAACUGUCCGUAGCCGGUUUAGUAAGUUCCUGGUAAAAUCGGGUAGCUUACCUAUCUGCAUGCUAGGAAUACUGCUAUACUAGAGGGCGGGAGAGGUCUGAGGUACUACAGGGGUAGGGGUGAAAUCUUAUAAUCCUUGUAGGACCACCAGUGGCGAAGGCGUCAGACUGGAACGCGCCUGACGGUGAGGGACGAAAGCCAGGGGAGCGAACCGGAUUAGAUACCCGGGUAGUCCUGGCCGUAAACGAUGCAUACUAGGUGAUGGCACGGCCAUGAGCCAUGUCAGUGCCGUAGGGAAACCGUUAAGUGUGCCGCCUGGGAAGUACGGUCGCAAGGUUGAAACUUAAAGGAAUUGGCGGGGGA